UAUGGGGAAUGCCAUUUUGAUAGGCUGUUAUUCUUAUGCAAAAAAAAAAAAAAGGAUCUUUUACUUUUUCCGUUUUGUAGUUCCCGCUCUGCUAUACGCUUCGUCUGCUAUGAGUGGCAGACGACAGCUAACUUAAAUAUAGGGCAACAUCCCCUCUGAUAUCUUCAUAGCUAAGAACUGUCAUGGAAAAGUCAGGUAUAUUGUUGUCAAUAAAACGAUAGUGUUUAUAUGAUUCCAAAUAUAGCCCAGUGUGAUCAGCGCGAGGCGAGGCAUUCCCCACCCUGACAUCCAGUCCAUGUUUUGAAGGAAGUUCAGUGAGGAUCGAAGACCAUUAUAGUAUUAGUAAUAUUGUGAAUACUUCGAGACUAUCAUCAAUGGGACACUAAAUUUUCCGCAAGUGGCUGGGUGUGUUGAAAGACCAUAUAAGCACUGGCAUAUUAGCUAGAGGCCCCAGGGAAGAGGGAGUGAGGAGAGGGAUCAGGCCACCACCGCGCCGCUGCCCGAAUUUUCCGCGGCCACCAAUCGAGCACGACAGGAGUAAAACAGUUGCAGCAUUGAUCAUCAGCAGCAGCAAACAAGACGCACUCCAUCAUUGUACGCAAAAGCAAAUGGUAAGUCAUCGGUGAGGGCUACCGAGCGUGUCGCCUGCGCCUGGGUGAGUGUUGUCCUUAUCAAACUUUGCCGUGGGCUUCAGUACAAGAAACUGUGUUGAGGUGCACGUGCAGGUACUUCUCAAAACACAGAAUAUACGUAAACAAUACCCCUGCAGUAAUUUAGUCCAGGUAUAUCACGUGAUUGAAUCCUAGUACAAGUAGUUUCAGUACAUCUGGCUUGUGUAGGUGAAAUGGCCUCAUAUUCUUAUGUUCUGAUGUUUUUAUUUUUAAUCCUUUGAUUGAUAUCGACAAUAUUACACAUGCUAUUUGAAAAAUGUUCUUUAAUUUUACUUAACGUACAAGUAGUUUCAAAUCAUCUGCUUUGUGUAGGUCAGCUUAUUUUCUGAUGUUAUUAUGUUUAAUUCUUUGACUUUACUAAUGACAAUAUUACUCUUGCUAUUUGAGUAACGUUCCAUGAUUUUACUUCACGAAAUAAAAGUAGGCAUUAACAGGCUGAAUGGAUUUGGUCAUUCCUUUUGGUGUCUGAAUUGUGUGUUUUCUCUCUGUUGCUCUUCAGACUUGCACUACGAUAUUUUAUUAACAUUGAGGAGCCAUGUCAGUCAAAAGGUUAAUGUAAAUAGAAAGUUUUUUUUUUUUUUUUUUUUUUUUUAUGUAAGAAGGUAAAAUACGAACCCUCUCUUUGUGACACUGAAGUUUCCGUUGGUCCAUCCCAUUUCCUUUUAUAAUUUCACAUUUUUAGUGUUUUUAAUAUUUUUACCAUACUGUCAUUUUGUUUUUAAUAUCAAUAUUUCAACCUGCCAUCUUUGCUGCUUUGAACGUUUUGCAGCGGCGCCAUAUGACCUUGAUGCUGUGCCGCCAUAAAAUCAGAUUACUUGAUCAGUCAGUCAAUUAUGUACACGUAAGAGGGGCACUGGCUUGGGGCAAAGAAGGGGGAAAAAGGCCCAAUGAGGUGCCAGUCCCUAAAGAAAAAAAAAAAAAAAAGACAAGCGCAAUGACGCAAUCGUAAAAAAAAUGUGACUGAAACUGUAAACCCCACUUGUGUGCAAACUGUAUGGGGAAGUGAAGCUGUGGAAACGUUUUAGCCUCGUAUCGUCCCGGAAGUGUAGACUGAACAAAGUAAUCCAUUCUUAGGCAUUCCUGUGGGGCAAGAAGGUAAUGACUUGGGGAGGCCAGGGCACGCCGGGAGGAAUGCCAGGGAUGUGUGGCUAAUUUCACAGCUGCUGCACGUGGUUGUGUGUGUGUGUGUGUGUGUGUGUGUGUGUGUGUGUGUGUGUGUGUGGUAACCUUAAAAUGCUUCACACGGGGUAAUGACCUCUCAGAUUUUGCUUUCAUGACGUAAACUUUUCCCUUUGUUGUCAUGGUGAUGUAAACUUUCCACCUUUUUUCAUUAUUUAUUUAUUUACGGAUUCAUCUAUUUAUCUCUUUAUUUUUUUUGGAAGUGGCAUCAUAACAGUUUUCCCUCCCCUCCUUCACCCCUUUCUGCCCUUAGCCAGUCUCCUUCACACUUAAAAAAAAAAGAGAAAAAAUGAGGUAAAGAUUUUCAUAUCGAUGGUGAUGAUGUUAAUGACUGAUACUUGUGAUGAUGAGGUGGUAAUGACGAUUGUGGUGGAGAUGGUGGUGAUGAUUGGUACUGGUGAUGGUAGUGCUGAUCGUAAAUAUUGGUCGUGGUGGUGGUGGUGGUGGUUGUAGUGUUGCUUCGGCGAUGAAAAAGUUGUUGUUGUUACUUGUUGUUGUUGUUGUUGUUGUUGUUGCUGCUGCUGCUGCAAUUGUGAACCUAGACUGAGAUAGAGAGAGAACAAACAGUGAUAAACUUGGAACUUGGAAAUGAGGUGACAACGAACGCUAUGGAUCAAGAAUAAAUUAUGCAGGUUGUAGUUGUAAUACACAAUAAGCAAAGCAGGACGUGCAUCAUUCAUUAAGUCGUGCGGUGCAUUAAAAGAUACUGCACUUUUUAUAUAUAUAUACUUGUGAAUAAAAAGAGAGAGAAAAAUAAAAGGAACGAAAGACUUAAAUGAUUGUCUUCAGUAUCAGUUAACAUUUUAUUAACAUCAUCUGAUAAAAGCUUCAGUAUUUGCAUUUACAAUCUCGUACUCUCAUUAAGUUUUGAUUCCCAUCUUGUAAAAUUAUUAAUAUUUUCAG